GGGGAUGUAGCUCAGUUGGUAGAGUGCUUGCCUCGCAUGCAAAAGGCCCUGAGUUCUAUUCCCCGCAUCCCCC
rnacentral:tRNA from 1 species